rnacentral:rRNA from 1 species
ACGCCCGGUCCCAUUCCGAACCCGGAAGCUAAGCCUGCCAGCGCCGAUGGUACUGCACUCGACAGGGUGUGGGAGAGUAGGACACCGCCGGAA